rnacentral:SRP_RNA from 1 species
GCUGGGCAUGGUGGCGCGUGCCUGUAAUCCCAGCUACUCGGGAAGCUGAGGCAGGAGAAUCGCUUGAACCAGGGAGUCGGAGGUUGCAGUGAGCCGAGAUCACGCCAUUGCACUCCAGCCUGGUGACAGAGUGAGACUCUGUUUCAA